GCCUGGGUGGCUCAGUUGGUAAAGCGUCUGACUUUGGCUCAGGUCUUGACCUCAGGGUCCUGGGAUCAAGCCCCGCAUCGGGCU